rnacentral:rRNA from 1 species
GAUGAACGCUGGCGGCGUGCUUAACACAUGCAAGUCGAACGAAGCUGCUAAAAGGAAGUCUUCGGACAGAAUUUUAGUAGACUUAGUGGCGGACGGGUGAGUAACGCGUGGAUAACCUGCCUUAUACAGGGGGAUAACGGAGAGAAAUUUCCGCUAAGACCGCAUAAGACCACAGCACCGCAUGGUGCAGGGGUAAAAUAUUUAUAGGUAUAAGAUGGAUCCGCGUCCGAUUAGCUAGUUGGUGAGGUAGAGGCUCACCAAGGCGACGAUCGGUAGCCGGCCUGAGAGGGUGAACGGCCACAUUGGGACUGAGACACGGCCCAAACUCCUACGGGAGGCAGCAGUGGGGAAUAUUGGACAAUGGGGGAAACCCUGAUCCAGCGACGCCGCGUGAGUGAAGAAGUAUUUCGGUAUGUAAAGCUCUAUCAGCAGGGAAGAAAAUGACGGUACCUGACUAAGAAGCCCCGGCUAACUACGUGCCAGCAGCCGCGGUAAUACGUAGGGGGCAAGCGUUAUCCGGAUUUACUGGGUGUAAAGGGAGCGCAGACGGCGAAGCAAGUCUGAAGUGAAAUGCAUGGGCUCAACCCAUGAAUUGCUUUGGAAACUGUUUGGCUUGAGUGUCGGAGGGGUAAGCGGAAUUCCUAGUGUAGCGGUGAAAUGCGUAGAUAUUAGGAGGAACACCGGAGGCGAAGGCGGCUUACUGGACGACAACUGACGUUGAGGCUCGAAGGCGUGGGGAGCAAACAGG